CUACGGGGCGCAGCAGUGGGGAAUAUUGGACAAUGGGGGAAACCCUGAUCCAGCAAUGCCGCGUGUGUGAAGAAGGCCUGCGGGUUGUAAAGCACUUUCGGUUGGGAGGACUGCUUCUAGCACUAAUAUUGUUGGAAGUUGACGUUACCUUCAGAAGAAGCACCGGCUAACUCCGUGCCAGCAGCCGCGGUAAUACGGAGGGUGCAAGCGUUAAUCGGAAUUACUGGGCGUAAAGCGCGCGUAGGCGGCUAGAUCAGUCGGGUGUGAAAGCCCCGGGCUUAACCUGGGAACUGCAUCCGAUACUGUCUAGCUUGAGUACAGGACAGGAGAGUGGAAUUCCACAUGUAGCGGUGAAAUGCGUAGAUAUGUGGAGGAACACCAAUGGCGAAGGCAGCUCUCUGGCCUGAUACUGACGCUGAGGUGCGAAAGCGUGGGGGGCAAACAGGAUUAGAUACCCGCGUAGUC
rnacentral:rRNA from 1 species